GUUAAAUAGAACAAGAUAAGAAUGGGUUCUUUCAUUUUUUUUUGUCAUGUUUACUAAUCUUAUACAAUCUUAAACGUUUUAUUUAAGUAUAAUUCAAAUAUAUGGUAAUAUUAUACUUUUAGUCUUGUAAAAUUUAAAGAUUAGUAAUUCUCCAUUAAAAAGCACUCUUUAAGAGAUAUAACAUUUUUUUUUCUUUUGAGUAAAUGGGCCUAUUCUCUGAAUAAAUUCUUUUUCUUUGAGUACUACUCAAAACAUAUUCUACGAUUUGAUUUCCUUGAUAUAUUUCAACAGAGUACUACUACAAAAUACCGGAAAAUACGUCAGUGAAAUACCAAACAUAGUAUAAACAUAGAAAUUUUCUUCCCUACAGCAAUGUCAACUUCUCCAAGAUCAACAACACCGCCCGAGUCAUUGACAAAACUAAUGACAUCGGUCAAGUUUACAGGGGAUGCAGUUGAGACAGCUGUUUGCGAAAAGAAGAAGACACCGGAAAUGGAACAAAAAUCUUUCUUUUUCAAAGACUUGAAGGAGCUAAAAGGGCGUUUAUCGGAAAAAUGGCACGAGAAACUACCCGAGCUGCAAGAUCGCUUGCCAGACUCCAUUUCCACAUUUAUCACUGAAAAAUUAGAUUCGUCUGAUAAGAAAGAGUCGCAAAUGAAAAAAAGCGUUAGCGUUGAUACAGUUCCCUCUGAGAGAAGCUCUCCAGGAAAGCAUUCGAGACAUUCAAGUGCCGAUUUCAAAUUGAGUCCUGAUUUUGAAUUAGUCCCACCUGCCUCUAUGGAUGACGCGGAUGAAGAAGGCGAGGAAUUAACCGAAGAUUUUGAUAAUACACCACCUCAUUUGCCAAAAACUUCCUCUAAAUCUUAUCCCUUAAAUUUGAAUGAACUUCUAGAGCAGCCUGUAAAUGAAACGCGCCCUAAGUCAAAUCCCAGUAAUUUUCAUCCAAAAUGGAAACCGUCAUUCAGCAAAGGUCACUUAUUUUUAGCUCUACUUGUAUUACUUGCAGCUAUAUGUUCACCUAUAUGUUCAUUUAUGUCUGGUUUAAUUAUUGGUGCUUGUUUGUCGGCGCUUGUUGUGCCUUUUAUCAUCUAUACGUUCAACCCAUGGCAUUUCAACCCACCACCAUUGCCAGAUGUUAAAGAUUUACCUCCUAUGCCACCUAGUCGAGGAUUAGCCGACAGAUCCUGUAAAUUUGAAGGCUGGAUGAAUAUAUUAUCAAACGGAGAGUAUAAUUCGGAAAAUUUUCAUCUGAUAGACACAAAGAGCGCUUUUGUUCAGUUAGAUACUUGCAUUUUGAAUGUGAAAAUUGCUCUGCAAUCACUCCCUCGCCGAGCAUGCUAUAAACACAAUCUUCCAAUACCGGCCCAGGCACAAUUCCUUGAUGAGUCUAUGACGGUCGAUUUAAGAGAUUGUAAUGUUAUUUUACUUCCUGAUAGAUUGGUUCAUAAGAGACUUUGGAGUAAAAAAUAUCCGAUAUGCAUAAAGCCUUCAGAUGGAUCAAAGAACAUUAUACUCUUUGCUAGAACUUGCCUUCAAAAAGAGCAAUGGUUUCAUCGUAUGAAUUCGGCUUCUUUAAAUAUGCCCAUUCCAUCAAAGUUACCUGAUAUAGGUAAAAAAGGAACACUGGAAAAACGUUUGAGUACCUCUGCAUUGGAAACACUUGUCAAAGAUCAAUCUUUACCUAGUAUGAAUAAUCCAGAGGCUUCUUUGGAGUCUCUCAUACUUCAUUUAUCUCGAAUUCUACCUCCAGAAUCUCUUUGUAGUACAAAGCCGAAAAUUAGCUGUGAAAAAAUUGGAAGAGUCCUUUGUGAACCUUCAAUGAUAUGGAUAAACGCUAUCAUCUCAAGAAUCCUCUGGGAUGUUCUAAAACAGCCUCUUUGGGCUGCUAGAAUAAUGUCAAAAAUUCAAAAAAAACUAGCUAAAAUUAAUAAACCAGUCUUUGUUGAUGAUCUCGUGAUAGUUGGAAUAGACCUGGGGAAAGCAGUACCAAUACUCAGAAGAAGCGCAGUCCCCUAUGUCGACUCAGAUGGACUCUGGAUCGAUAUAGAUAUGGCUUAUAGUGGCGGUGUAGCCUUAUCUAUCGAAACAAAGGUGAAUCUUUUGAAGUUACGUAAAAGCGAUAGUGUAACCUCGUCGCCAACAACCGAUAAAAAAAGCCCCGUUACGGAUUCCGAUGAAGAGGAUAGUGCCGAAAGUUCAACUGACGAAGAACCCGAGGAUGUGAGCGACUCUGAGAAAAACUCGAAUGGACUGCACACUGGAGUUGGUGCUCGCUUACAAAAGAGUGUUAAUAAGAAGAAAAUAAUGCAGUUAGUAGAUCGAAUAACAAACAGCAGAUAUUUUCAUGCUGCAGCUGAAAAUAGAUAUGUGCAAAGAGCAAUGAAAGAAGUAUCUAACACACCCAUUCAAUUGACAGUUGAUAUAAAAAGUUGCGUUGGAACUCUAGUAUUGCAUAUACCACACCCACCGACUGAUCGUUUAUGGUGGGGUUUUAAACACCCUCCUCACAUGUGGCUUACUGCAACUCCAAAAAUUGGAGAGAGACAAGUAAGCGUUACUCACGUCACAGAUUGGAUAGAAAACAAACUUGUAAAAGAGUUCGAAAGGAUAUUGGUUCUACCAAAUAUGGACGAUAUACCAUUAGAGCCAAUUUUAAUGGAUGAAGGAUUUUUAGAAAAAAUUUGAAAUAUCAUUUUAUUUUUAUUGCAGAAUGUUAUUUUCAUUGCAAAAAAUUUAUAUAACUGCUUAAGAACAUUGUUCUUUAUUUCCGAGCCUACUUUUGAAACUUUCAAAAACAAAUAUAUAUAUAUAUGUAUGCAUAUACAGACAAUUGCAUUGAGAAAAAUUAACGAGUCCGUUCAUAUACGCCAUCUGGUGUGACAUACAAAGUGCAUCAAAUAAGGUUAGCUAGUAAAUUACGUAAUUAUUGUCAUAUUUAAAAAGGUAAUAAGAGAUCAUGCGGGCAUAACGAUAACGAAUAUUAAUAUUAAAUCUUUAUUCACCAAUAUUAAACGAAUUUGCUGCAAAAGUAAUGAAAACAACUGAUGUCUAUAUAUUAAAUAUGUUUCGUUUUAAGAUUAUCAGUCGUACAGGAAGAUAAACAUCUAUUCGUCAGUUUAAAGUACAAGUACGUAAAGAUUUAUUAUCAUCUGCUAUGAAUUUACAAACUAAUCGUGACCGCUGUAAGUCAAGAGUCACGAUUCAUUCUUAUUUUAGCAAUUUCAUUAAUAACUGAUGCUAAACCAAUAUUAAAAAAAAAUCUCUUUGCUACAGUUUUAUUAUUCAAAUAUAUAAAUUUAUAUAUAUAUUUUUU
rnacentral:misc_RNA from 1 species